UACGUAGGGGGCAAGCGUUGUCCGGAUUUAUUGGGCGUAAAGAGCGUGUAGGCGGCCUUACAGGUCCGUUGUGAAAACUCGAGGCUCAACCUCGAGACGCCGGUGGAAACCGUAAAGCUAGAGUCCGGAAGAGGAGAGUGGAAUUCCUGGUGUAGCGGUGAAAUGCGCAGAUAUCAGGAGGAACACCGAUGGCGAAGGCGGCAUCCUGGACCGACACUGACACUGAGGAGCGAAAGCCAGGGGAGCAAACGGG
rnacentral:rRNA from 1 species